GUAGCCAUGUACUAAAUAGUAAGACCCUUUGGCUGCUCCCUUGUUUUCACUCAGGGUCACCACAUCAGAUCCAAGGUGGAUCUGCAUGUUUAUUUGGCACAGGUUUUACACCAGAUGUCCUUCCUGACACAACUCCACAUUACAUGUAAAAAUGUGGCAGGG